rnacentral:rRNA from 1 species
UGGGGAAUCUUGCACAAUGGGGGCAACCCUGAUGCAGCGACGCCGCGUGAGCGAUGAAGCCCUUCGGGGCGUAAAGCUCUUUCGACCGGAACGAUAAUGACGGUACCGGGAGAAGAAGCUGCGGCUAACUACGUGCCAGCAGCCGCGGUAAUACGUAGGCAGCAAGCGUUGUUCGGAGUUACUGGGCGUAAAGAGUGCGUAGGCGGUUUUCUAAGUUCGGUGUGAAAUCUCCCGGCUUAACUGGGAGGGUGCGCCGAAGACUGGGAAGCUGGAGUGUGGGAAAGGCAGGCGGAAUUCCUGGUGUAGCGGUGAAAUGCGUAGAUAUCAGGAGGAACACCGGCGGUGUAGACGGCUUGCUAGACCAUAACUGACGCUGAGGCACGGAAGCGUGGGUAGCAAACA